UACGUAGGGGGCAAGCGUUGUCCGGAAUCAUUGGGCGUAAAGCGCGCGUAGGCGGCCCGGUAAGUCCGCUGUGAAAGUCAAAGGCUCAACCUUUGAAUGUCAGCGGAUACUGCCGGGCUAGAGUCCGGAAGAGGCGAGUGGAACUCCUGGUGUAGCGGUGGAAUGCGCAGAUAUCAGGAAGAACACCAACGGCGAAGGCAGCUCGCUGGGACGGUACUGACGCUGAGACGCGAAAGCGUGGGGAGCAAACAGG
rnacentral:rRNA from 1 species